CUAGCCGUAAACGAUGGACACUAGGUGUUGGUGGUAUCAACCCCGCCAGUGCCGUAGCUAACGCAUUAAGUGUCCCGCCUGGGGAGUACGGCCGCAAGGCUAAAACUCAAAGGAAUUGACGGGGGCCCGCACAAGCAGCGGAGCGUGGGGUUUAAUUCGACGCAACGCGAAGAACCUUACCAGGGCUUGACAUGGUCAGGAAGUCGGCGGAAACGUCGGUGUCCCGCAAGGGACCUGAUCACAGGUGU
rnacentral:rRNA from 1 species